rnacentral:rRNA from 1 species
UACGUAGGGUGCAAGCGUUGUCCGGAAUUACUGGGCGUAAAGCGUGCGCAGGCGGUUCGCAAAGACAGGUGUGAAAUCCCCGGGCUUAACCUGGGAACUGCGCUUGUAACUAGCGGGCUAGAGUGCGGCAGAGGGGGGUGGAAUUCCACGUGUAGCAGUGAAAUGCGCAGAUAUCAGGAGGAACACCAAUGGCGAAGGCAGCUCGCUGGGACGUGACUGACGCUGAGACGCGAAAGCGUGGGGAGCAAACAGG